UUAUACUUCAGAACCUCUUCUCACAUCUGU
rnacentral:piRNA from 1 species